UCCCUGAUGGUCCAGCGGUUAAGACUCUGAACUUCCACGGCAGAGAGCAUGGGUUCAAUCCCUCGUCAGGGAA
rfam:Ovis aries breed Texel chromosome 17, whole genome shotgun sequence.